GUAUUCCUCAAGGUGUGUUUGUGAACAUGAAUAUAUAGAUGUGUGUACACGUAUCUCUAUGUAUGAGCACAAUCACAACUUGUUUUAUUACUGAUGCACCAAAAGAAUUUAGAACUAUUCGGAGCGCAAUCAGUCCUCAGACCACAAACCCUGGAUGGACUUCACACAAAUGCUCAGGUGAACCUCUCAGAGCACAACAGAGUUUCCGAAGAAUAAAGAAGGCCAGCUCUCAGGCUUCCUGAAGAUUUAAUAAGUGUGACACUUGUGCUGUCUGGUCUCUUUGCUCUUGGCUGGGAUGGCUGAAGCAGAACCAUUAUGUUAGCAGGUA
ensembl:lncRNA